AUUUGUAAUCCUUAGCUGAUGUUAAAUGUGGAGCUACUGGUGGCUGAGAUUGCUCUGUACAUAGUGAAGCUUAGAGAAGCCUUGGCAGCUUGACAUGGAGUUUUUUCUCCUAAUGUUGCUGGACAGGAAUAACAGGGAGGUCAGUGUCUGUUCUGUGUGUCAGCUUUUACUCUGCUGACCUGAAAUUUGGGUGUUUCUAACUCCUUGCAGUCAGACUUCAGGUCCAGCAGGGUCACAGCCUUGCUGGGGUGCUGCUGGAGUUACUGAGAACUGUGUGCUUGGAUAGAUUGGUAGCUGUUAAGGACUCUGAGGUAUAUAACAGAUUAAUACUCUGCACUGCUCAUUCUAGAUGGGAAAAUUGUUUGAAGCGUUGUUUCAUGAAUUUUGAGUAAGUGCUAAACAGGAAGCUUUCAUUUCAUUGGUGAAAAUGUUCAAACAUUCUUGUUUUUUUUAUUCCCUAAAUACCCAUAUCCUGCUGUGCCAUGAUAGUUUGAUAGCAUGACUAUUACAUACCAACAGAUUCCUAAAACAUACCUUUGAUUAAGCUAAACUCUCUUAUUUUGCUAGUAAAAUUAAUGAAUUUUCUGUGCAGAUUUUGGUCUUGUGUAACUUCCUAUGUAGAUGGGAGCAGUGAUCUCUACUUGCAGAACUCAAUACUGAGGAUCUUCAUGUAA
rnacentral:lncRNA from 1 species